AUACGAAAGGUGCAAGCGUUGUUCGGAUUUACUGGGCGUAAAGAGAGUGUAGGUGGUUUAUUAAGUCGGAUGUGAAAUCCCGGGGCUCAACCUCGGAACUGCAUUCGAUACUGAUAGGCUAGAGUUUGGGAGGGGUAAGCGGAAUUCCGUGUGUAGCAGUGAAAUGCGUAGAUAUACGGAGGAACACCUGGGGCGAAGGCGGCUUACUGGACCAAUACUGACACUGAGACUCGAAAGCGUGGGUAGCAAACAGGAUUAGAAACCCCAGUAGUCC
rnacentral:rRNA from 1 species